UAGUUCUGUUUUAGAAGUGCACUAUAACACAGAUCAUCCGAAGCAAAUUGGCCCGAGGCAAUGGAGCGGCGGCCUCCUUAACGUUUCGCAAUGGGCUGUUAGAGCUAGCUAUGCUACGAAUCCAAGGUUGUCAGCAUGAUAUGUUUCAAUCCGUUACAGUUAGCUCGCUGUGUUCCAAAUGUAUGAUAUGCCGGCCGGGGUUUGUACCGAAGAUACCCCAGUGAUGAAGCCGAAGAUAACAAGACCUGCCACAUGUGUUUUGUGUAUACUUUUCGGUUCACGUGCCGGCAGAGUUAUGUACAUGAUGCCCUGUUGGAUAUAAAGUGCAUGUGCCGUAUGAUGCAACCGCAACUCGCCUUUGAGGUCUGGAUGAGCGAAAAGGCUCGCGCUUGAGAGAGUGUACGUACAUAGGACUGACUGCAUAGUCCUGUCACGUUGUUGUGAACCGACGUUGCCGGAAAGAAUAAUGUAGCACCAAUUGCGAGGCAGUUUUGUCGCUCUUGUAAACCUUCUUUUGUGUGUGAAAGCUGGUUCAUGUAAACCCGACCUAGAGCCUCCGUGCUCAAAUGGUGUAACUGCAGCAUGGUCAACCGAGGUUGACUCAUCCAAUCGAUUGAAUUUGGUUGUGUGUGUCGUAUAAGGUCUGUGGUGUAGUAUGGUCAACCGAGGCUGACUCAUCCAAUUGAUUGAAUUUGGUUGUGUGUGUCGUAUAAGGUCUCUGGUGUAACUGUAGCAUGGUCAACCGAGGCUGACUCCUGACUUGUUCAAUUGAUUGAAUUUGGUUGUGUGUGCCGUAUAAGGUCUGUGGUGUAACUGCAACAUGGUCAAUCGAGGCUGAUUCAUCCAAUUAAUUGAAUUUGGUUAUGUGUGCCUUAUAAGGUCUGGAUGAGCGAAAGCUCACGCUUGAGAGAGCGUACAUACAUAGAGCUGAUUGCAUCACGUUGUUGUUGUGUACCGACUUUGCUGGAAAGAAUAAUGUAGCAACAACUAUGAGGUAGCUUUGUCGCUUGUGUAAACCUUUUUUUGGUGUGUGAAAG
rnacentral:lncRNA from 1 species